GCCAGGUGUGGUGGCGCGCACCUGUAAUCCCAGAUUACUCGGGAGGCUGAGGCAGGAGAAUCGCUUGAACCCGGGAGGCAGAGGUUGCAGUGAGCUGAGAUGGUGCCACUGCACUCCAGCCUGGGUGACAGAGUGAGACUCCGUCUCAA
rnacentral:SRP_RNA from 1 species